CAGUCGAACGCUGAAGCACAGCUUGCUGGUGUGGAUGAGUGGCGAACGGGUGAGUAAUACGUGAGUAACCUGCCCUUGACUCUGGGAUAAGCCCGGGAAACUGGGUCUAAUACUGGAUGCUACAUGUCACCGCAUGGUGGUGUGUGGAAAGGGUUUACUGGUCUUGGAUGGGCUCACGGCCUAUCAGCUUGUUGGUGAGGUAAUGGCUCACCAAGGCGACGACGGGUAGCCGGCCUGAGAGGGUGACCGGCCACACUGGGACUGAGACACGGCCCAGACUCCUACGGGAGGCAGCAGUGGGGAAUAUUGCACAAUGGGCGAAAGCCUGAUGCAGCGACGCCGCGUGAGGGAUGACGGCCUUCGGGUUGUAAACCUCUUUCAGCAGGGAAGAAGCCACAAGUGACGGUACCUGCAGAAGAAGCGCCGGCUAACUACGUGCCAGCAGCCGCGGUAAUACGUAGGGCGCAAGCGUUGUCCGGAAUUAUUGGGCGUAAAGAGCUCGUAAGCGGUUUGUCGCGUCUGCUGUGAAAGCCCGGGGCUUAA
rnacentral:rRNA from 1 species